rnacentral:lncRNA from 1 species
UGGCCCCUGGAGGAGAGAGCCUCUCAACCCUAAUUCAUUAUUUUCAAGGGAGAAGAAGCCUCUGAUCAAGAUUAGAGCCACCACAUCAAUUAGAUAUCUAGAUUAGCAUAGCUACAUAGGAUUAGAACUAGAAGGAGUCAAUCUUCGAUUGGUUUCCGGAUCUGUCAAGAGGAUUCUUGGUAAUUCUCUAAUUGUGCUUCUAAUUGUUCUUCUAAUCAUCUUUGUUCUUCAAUAUUAUGAAUAUGACUUUGUUCUACUUCAAUAUAUUGCUUAUGACUUUGCUCUACUUGUUUAUAUUCAAGAUUAUAUUGUUCUUAGUUUAUCAUAGUUAUAUACUUGGCUUAGUUAGAUUGGAUCUAUAUACGUGUUUAGGAUCGUAUAGCGUUUAUCCAUCGGAUCCAUGGGUAAAUGAUAGAUAUUGUGUAGGCGUGGUGCUUAUACCGUAUUUAUCUGUGAUUGUACCCAA